rnacentral:rRNA from 1 species
GAUGAACGCUGGCGGCGUGCCUAAUACAUGCAAGUCGAGCGAACAGACGAGGAGCUUGCUCCUCUGACGUUAGCGGCGGACGGGUGAGUAACACGUGGAUAACCUACCUAUAAGACUGGGAUAACUUCGGGAAACCGGAGCUAAUACCGGAUAAUAUAUUGAACCGCAUGGUUCAAUAGUGAAAGACGGUUUUGCUGUCACUUAUAGAUGGAUCCGCGCCGCAUUAGCUAGUUGGUAAGGUAACGGCUUACCAAGGCAACGAUGCGUAGCCGACCUGAGAGGGGGCUCGGCCACACUGGAACUGAGACCCGGUCCAGACUCCUACGGGAGGCAGCAGUAGGGAAUCUUCCGCAAUGGGCGAAAGCCUGACGGAGCAACGCCGCGUGAGUGAUGAAGGUCUUCGGAUCGUAAAACUCUGUUAUUAGGGAAGAACAAAUGUGUAAGUAACUAUGCACGUCUUGACGGUACCGAAUCAGAAAGCCACGGCUACCUACGU